GAUACCGUGAAGUUCGAGAAGAGUGUUACAGAGUACGAUUGCACAAGGGCUUACGUGCCCACUCCGGAAGUACAGAAUGAAUUGAAAAGAAUCUCCGGCAAACUCGAUGAUUGCUUGUAUGAUGACUACAGACGGGAGAUCGACACUCUCAAG